rnacentral:rRNA from 1 species
AGUGAACGCUGGCGGUAGGCCUAACACAUGCAAGUCGAACGGCAGCACAGUAAGAGCUUGCUCUUACGGGUGGCGAGUGGCGGACGGGUGAGGAAUACAUCGGAAUCUACUUUUUCGUGGGGGAUAACGUAGGGAAACUUACGCUAAUACAGCAUACGACCUACGGGUGAAAGCAGGGGAUCUUCGGACCUUGCGCGAUUGAAUGAGCCGCUGUCGGAUUAGCUAGUUGGCGGGGUAAAGGCCCACCAAGGCGACGAUCCGUAGCUGGUCUGAGAGGAUGAUCGGCCACACUGGAACUGAGACACGGUCCAGACUCCUACGGGAGGCAGCAGUGGGGAAUAUUGGACAAUGGGCGCAAGCCUGAUCCAGCCAUACCGCGUGGGUGAAGAAGGCCUUCGGGUUGUAAAGCCCUUUUGUUGGGAAAGAAAAGCAGCAGGUUAAUACCCCGCUGUUCUGACGGUACCCAAAGAAUAAGCACCGGCUAACUUCGUG